rnacentral:rRNA from 1 species
UACGGGGGGUGCGAGCGUUGUCCGGAUUCACUGGGCGUAAAGGGCGCGUAGGCGGCCCGGUCAGUCGGACCUUUAAGAGCGGGGCUCACCCCCGUGGUGGGUUCGGGACGGCCGGGCUGGGGCGCGGCAGAGGGGGACGGAAUGCCGGGUGUAGUGGUGAAAUGCGUAGAGAUCCGGCGGAACACCGGUGGUGAAGACGGUCCCCUGGGCCGAGGCCGACGCUAAGGCGCGAGAGCGCGGGGAGCGAACCGG